UGCAUCAAUGAUGACCACUGAUGAUGUAUGAUCCAUGGAUCACGACUACAGGUGUGGGUGUCUGAGCUCCAU